rnacentral:rRNA from 1 species
AUACGUAGGUGGCAAGCGUUGUCCGGAUUUACUGGGUGUAAAGGGCGUGCAGCCGGGACGGCAAGUCAGAUGUGAAAUCCAUGGGCUUAACCCAUGAACUGCAUUUGAAACUGUCGUUCUUGAGUACCGGAGGGGCAAUCGGAAUUCCUAGUGUAGCGGUGAAAUGCGUAGAUAUUAGGAGGAACACCAGUGGCGAAGGCGGAUUGCUGGACGGCAACUGACGGUGAGGCGCGAAAGUGUGGGGAGCAAACAGGAUUAGAUACCCUGGUAGUCCACACUGUAAACGAUGGAUACUAGGUGUAGGGGGUAUCGACUCCCUCUGUGCCGCAGUUAACACAAUAAGUAUUCCGCCUGGGGAGUACGGCCGCAAGGUUGAAACUCAAAUGAAUUGACGGGG